rnacentral:tRNA from 1 species
GGGGAGGUGCCAGAGUGGUCGAUCGGAGCCGCCUGCUAAGCGGUUAACGGCUAAACCCCGUUCAUGGGUUCGAAUCCCAUCCUCCCCGCCA